rnacentral:rRNA from 1 species
UACGAAGGGGGCUAGCGUUGCUCGGAAUCACUGGGCGUAAAGCGCACGUAGGCGGCUUCUUAAGUCAGGGGUGAAAUCCUGGAGUCAACUCCAGAACUGCCUUUGAUACUGAGGAGCUUGAGUCCGGGAGAGGUGAGUGGAACUCCGAGUGUAGAGGUGAAAUUCGUAGAUAUUCGGAAGAACACCAGUGGCGAAGGCGGCUCACUGGCCCGGUACUGACGCUGAGGUGCGAAAAGCGUGGGGGAGCAAACAGGG